GAAGCAACAGACCUACAACACAGGUUGCAGUCUAACCCCAAAUAGGUGGAAGAAAUUUGUGGGCCCCAAGAUGCCAGCACAGCCCUCCUGGACCAUCAGCAGACUCAGUCACCUGGGAGAAAACAGAUGAAUUGGUAAAAUACACAAGAAACCUCCAAAAUGACGACCAACAGAUCAACCCCAUCUCCAUCCCAAACAAACAUGCGACUCACAACUCUUGGAUCAGGAAUGUCACACUGAAAUCGUUGGCAUUUCUGAUUGAAACCAAACAGGGAUUGUCAUUUCCAAUCCGCUCUUUGACAUGGAAGAGAGGCUUGUUUGUUCAAAUUAAAUCACCCAACUGGA